AUUGAACGCUGGCGGCAGGCCUAAUACAUGCAAGUCGAACGGUAACAUAAAAGAAGCUUGCUUCUUUUGAUGACGAGUGGCGGACGGGUGAGUAAUAUUUGGGAAACUACCUGAUAGAGGGGGACAACAGUUGGAAACGACUGCUAAUACCGCAUAUAGCCUAAGGGUGAAAGCAGCAAUGCGCUAUCAGAUGUGCCCAAACGGGAUUAGCUAGUAGGUGAGGUAAAGGCUCACCUAGGCGACGAUCUCUAGCUGGUCUGAGAGGAUGAUCAGCCACAUUGGGACUGAGACACGGCCCAGACUCCUACGGGAGGCAGCAGUAGGGAAUAUUGCACAAUGGAGGAAACUCUGAUGCAGCCAUGCCGCGUGUGUGAAGAAGGCCUUCGGGUUGUAAAGCACUUUCGGAGGGGAGGAAAAGGAAUGACGUUACCCUCAGAAGAAGCACCGGCUAACUCCGUGCCAGCAGCCGCGG
rnacentral:rRNA from 1 species